GGGAUUUUUGCCAAACCUGACCCUGUUAAGAUGACGUAUCCAGAGACUCAGCUUCACCAUUCACUGCCCUUACUGUUGAUUUGUGACAAUCUCCGUGACCCUGGGAACCUGGGGACAAUCCUGAGAUCUGCAGCUGGAGCAGGCUGCAGUAAAGUCUUACUCACCAAAGAUCCUGAAGUGCACUGAGAAAGGCCUCUGUGUUUGCAGCAAGGUUUACCUCAGCUAACAUCCCAGAGCUGUCUCCCACAAGCCCUACUCCCUGGCCCACACUGAGGAAGACAUAGGAGGCAAAAGACACACGUGUAGGACGUUACUGGAAAAGUAGUGUGGUGUGCUUCAAGGUGACGCUGACACUGUACCUGUCUGCACUAACAAAGAUGAUCUC
rnacentral:lncRNA from 1 species